AGGUAUAGAAUAGGUGGUACCUGGCUCAACAGGGAACUUGGGAGUCCUAGUGGACAAUAACUGAAAUGUGAGCAGGCAGUGUGUGGCAGCAGCCGCUAAAAAAAGCCAUUGCAAUCCUAAGGCUGCAUUAACAGAGGGAUAGAAUCACCAUCACAUGAAGUGUUGAUACCACUUUAUGAUGUCUUGGUAAGGCCACACUUGCAAUAAUAGCUCGUUUUGGUUGCCACCAUACAAAGAAAGAGAGACUAGAGAGAGCAGCAACUAAGAUGAUUAGGAGAUCUGGAGGAUAAAACAUACCAAGGAAAGUUGCAGGCACUGGGUAUGUCUAGUUUAAUGAAAAGGAGGACUGGGGUGACAUCAUAGCAGUCUUCCAAUAUCUAAUGGGUUGCCGCAAAUAAGAGGGAGUCAAGCUAUUCUCCAAAGCACCUGAAGGCAGGACAAGAAGGGAUGGAUGGAAACUUAUCAAGGAGAGAAGCAACCUAGAACUAAGGAGAAAUUUCCUGACAGUUAGAACAAUUAAUCAGUGGAACAACUUGCCUCCAGAAGUUGUGAAUUCUCAAACAUUGGAAAUUUUUAUGAAGAGAUAAGACAACCAUUUUCAGAAAUGGUGUAGGGUUUCCUGCCUGAGCAGCGGGUUGGACUAGAUGACCUCCAAGCUCCCUUCCAAAUCUCUUAUUCUGGCAUGAACACGAAUCCCUGAACUGGCUACCCGGGUGGCAAAUUCAAGCAUUUGCAGAAGCCCUUGCCCCAGCUCUCCAUUGUUCUAGGUUCUCCCCACCAUGGGGAAUCACACACCCUAAGCCAACCAGCUUCUUAGCUUCCAGAUUUUUAGCUUGCAGCUCAUCUAGCAGGUCACUGCUUUUGGUUACUCUUCCCAUCAACCUAAACCAGAAACCCUAUUAAUAAUAGCAGUUCUUUGGAAGGCCUUUGCAAUUCACAGCCUUAACACAGACAGAAGCACACACACAAAUUGGACGAGCAUCUAAUAAAAUACAAGGCAAACUUCAGCCAAGACAAAUGAAGACUCAUUAAUUAAGAGGAUAAUCUUAACCACCAUUUGCAUCCCAAAGAAUUUUCUCUACAGUGGAAGGUGAAAGAGUCAGCUGCCUAUUGUGAAUCCCAGUGCUUUAAACAUGCAAACAAGGGCCCUUUCACUUUAUUUUGCAAAUAAAUGAACUCCUCUUGAGGAAGGGCUCCCCAGCCGAG
rnacentral:lncRNA from 1 species